rnacentral:rRNA from 1 species
GCACAAGCGGUGGAGCAUGUGGUUUAAUUCGACGCAACGCGAAGAACCUUACCUGGGCUCGAAAUGUAGUGGAAUCCGGCAGAAACGUCGGCGUCUAGCAAUAGACCGCUAUAUAGGUGCUGCAUGGCUGUCGUCAGCUCGUGUCGUGAGAUGUUGGGUUAAGUCCCGCAACGAGCGCAACCCUUAUCUACAGUUGCUACCAUUUAGUUGAGCACUCUGUCGAAACCGCCUCGGAUAACGGGGAGGAAGGUGGGGAUGACGUCAAGUCCUCAUGGCCUUUAUGUCCAGGGCUACACACGUGCUACAAUGGCCGGUACAAACCGCUGCAAACCCGCGAGGGGGAGCUAAUCGGAAAAAGCCGGCCUCAGUUCGGAUUGGAGUCUGCAACUCGACUCCAUGAAGCUGGAAUCGCUAGUAAUCGUGGAUCAGCAUGCCACGGUGAAUACGUUCCCGGGC